GAUGAACGCUGGCGGCGUGCCUAAUACAUGCGAGUCGAGCGAACAGAUGAGGAGCUUGCUCCUCUGACGUUAGCGGCGGACGGGUGAGUAACACGUGGAUAACCUACCUAUAAGACUGGGAUAACUUCGGGAAACCGGAGCUAAUACCGGAUAAUAUAUUGAACCGCAUGGUUCAAUAGUGAAAGACGGUUUUGCUGUCACUUAUAGAUGGAUCCGCGCCGCAUUAGCUAGUUGGUAAGGUAACGGCUUACCAAGGCGACGAUGCGUAGCCGACCUGAGAGGGUGAUCGGCCACACUGGAACUGAGACACGGUCCAGACUCCUACGGGAGGCAGCAGUAGGGAAUCUUCCGCAAUGGGCGAAAGUCUGACGGAGCAACGCCGCGUGAGUGAUGAAGGUCUUCGGAUCGUAAAACUCUGUUAUUAGGGAAGAACAAAUGUGUAAGUAACUAUGCACGUCUUGACGGUACCUAAUCAGAAAGCCACGGCUAACUACGUG
rnacentral:rRNA from 1 species